AUUUAUGAAGCCUUCAUCUCGCUGUAAAGAUAACAUAGAUAAGGAGAACAGAAGAACACCCUGCAAAUUGCAGUGCCUCAGCAGCUCUUAUCUCAAUCUUUAUGAGAGCUGAUGGUUCUGGGAAUUCGAAGCUCAUACAUAGUCACUGCGCCCACAAAACACUGACAUCACAUGACUAGCAAUAAACCAUGGCUCACAUUUCUGGAGAGCAGAGCACGCCUCUCCCUGCCUCUCGAUGCAAGGAGACGAGUUUGGGACAAGAAGAGAAAAUACUGUCAGCAGCAUAGGGAUACCCCCAUCCGUGAGCCAGUGGCCAUUUGCACUGAGAAGGCACCGGUGGCGCAGCACCAUUAAAAUACUACUUUCCAUUAAAGAGCUCAAAUCCACUCUUCCAGCCCGUGCUCCCACUUCUGGAACACACGAGGCUUUGGGCUUGCUGGAGGAGCUCAGCAUCCUGAUGGAGUCCCCUGGGAGAAGGACGGUGCCUGCUCCGACCCAUAAGUUUAUGGCACGUCAUGGUCUGAGGUCAUCAUCAAAAUGAGGAGAAUUGCAGUGAGAAAAAGUGAUGAAUAAAGGCCUGCCUCAUGGCCAUCUGCUGUGCCACUUUCUGCUGCGAAAAGUUGGCAAGCAGUCAGUCAUCGCUAAUUCCCACUGUCGGGUUCUUAGAAAAAUCUGGGAUGGCCGUUUGGCAAGGUCACCAGCUCAGCCACGGCGUGGUGUUGUCACAGCGAUACCACUGCCAGCUGCAGCACAGCCCAUGCGCCCUGCCCACGCGCUCGUGGCACGGAGGGAUGAGUGUCACCCAUCCAGCUGCUGGGGGCCGUCCUUCACACCCAGCAGCGGGCUCUGGACCACCAGAGGGUCCCAGUAACAGCGUGGGUGACCGUGUGGUCGAGCGGAGUCAUUUCCCAGCACUAAAGCAUAUGAGUGUUUCUCCUGCAAUCUGUUUCCAACCCGCUGUUAAAAGAACAAUAAUAAAUAAAUAGAAUGAAAAGU